rnacentral:rRNA from 1 species
UACAGAGGGGGCGAGCGUUGUUCGGAAUUACUGGGCGGAAAGGGCGCGUAGGCGGCCUGCUAAGUCAUACGUGAAAUCCCUCGGCUCAACCGAGGAACUGCGUCUGAUACUGGUUGGCUUGAAUUCGGGAGAGGGAUGCGGAAUUCCAGGUGUAGCGGUGAAAUGCGUAGAUAUCUGGAGGAACACCGGUGGCGAAGGCGGCAUCCUGGACCGAGAUUGACGCUGAUGCGCGAAAGCCAGGGGAGCAAACGGG